UGCCAGCAGCCGCGGUAAUACGGAGGAUCCAAGCGUUAUCCGGAUUUAUUGGGUUUAAAGGGUCCGCAGGCGGAAAAAUAAGUCAGUGGUGAAAUCCUACAGCUUAACUGUAGAACUGCCAUUGAUACUGUUUUUCUUGAGUACACCUGAAGUGGGCGGAAUGUGUCAUGUAGCGGUGAAAUGCUUAGAUAUGACACAGAACACCGAUUGCGAAGGCAGCUCACUAAAGUGUCACUGACGCUGAGGGACGAAAGCGUGGGUAGCGAACAGGAUUAGAUA
rnacentral:rRNA from 1 species